CGUUUGAGCUUGUAUCCUUUGUUUGCAUAUAUAACCACAUGAAUGUAACCCGCGACCCAAACAUUUCCUUACCCUAUUCAUAGUCAAUGUUAUGUCUUUAAGCUGUGUUAAAUCCUAAGUUUAGGGUAACCCCAUAAGUAUUUGAAAGUAAGGUGAGUGCGGAGAAAGAUUAAGAAAAACGACCAUCGGAAAAAGAAAAAAA
rnacentral:lncRNA from 1 species